UGAACCUGCGGAAGGAUCAUUAUCGAAAUAAAAACUUGGUUUGGGUUGUUGCUGGCUUCUAGAAGCAUGUGCACACUUACUCCAUUUUUUCAACCACCUGUGCACUUUGUGUAGACCUGAAACACUUUUUCAAGGUAGUUAAACUAACUACUCUUGGUUUGAGAAUCGUCGCUACAUGGCUUUUCUUGCGUCUCAGGUUUAUGUUCUUUUAUAUGUACCCUACAAGAAUGUAUAUGAAUGUCUACAAUUGGCCUCGUGCCUUUUAAAAAUUAAAACAACUUUCAACAACGGAUCUCUUGGCUCUCGCAUCGAUGAAGAACGCAGCGAAAUGCGAUAAGUAAUGUGAAUUGCAGAAUUCAGUGAAUCAUCGAAUCUUUGAACGCACCUUGCGCUUCUUGGUAUUCCGAGAAGCAUGUCUGUUUGAGUGUCAUUAAAUUCUCAAUCUUACUAGCUUUCAUUAGCUAGUUCGACUUGGAUUGUGGAUGCUGCUGGCUUUUGAAAAGUCAGCUCUUCUCAAAUACAUUAGCAGAAGUCUUUGACUGCUCGUCUCUGGUAUGAUAACUAUCUAUACCAUUUGACUUCAGUUUUCCCUCACAGGUGACUUGCGCUUCUAAUAGUCUAUUACCUAGACAAUUCGUAACCAUUUGACCUCAAAUCAGAUAGGACUACCCGCUG
rnacentral:rRNA from 1 species